CGCAAGCAGUGAUUUUUCUCCCAGCGCUCGACAGGGAAGGUCCAUUUCUCUGUGUCUCUGUAAAUUCCUGCAUCUGGCGCUCUUGAAAAGGCAUAAUCUGGGUUGGAACCAGGGCCAGUUAUUAAAAUGGUCAUCACCCGACCAAGGUCUAAAUCAAGUCAUGGAAGGAGGAAUCAGAUGACUUUCACAGUGCCUCGUUUUACCCUCAUAUUAUUAUGUGAGGUCUUUAACAGAAAUAAACUGUACAACAACUUGGCUGCUGACCCACUUCACAUCUCCUUGCUAAACACUGGAGAAUCACGCAAAGACUUUGAUGUAACAGAUUGACCUCUAACAGCAACCAUGGGCAUCAGUGAUGAGAAGACCCGUGUUGUGACGGCGUUGUGAGUACAGGCUGGACCCCACAGAGUGUGUGCAUGUCUGCAGUGAGGAUGAACUCUUCCACCUUGAAA